GACAGGGAGAGGGAGAGGGAGAGGGAGAGGGAGAGGGAGAGAGAGAAAGGAGGAGGAGAAAGAGGAGGGGAAGGGAGACAAACACCCUGGAUAACAAACACACCAAGGAGAGAGCACUUGUCUUCCUGCCCCUCACAUUUAUUUUGUGUGCCUGAGUUCUUCGGAUGGUCUGUUUUUAAGGAUCUUCAGGGUGCUGGCGCCCAAAUGAACCCGAUUUCUUUCCUAGUAACUUUUAUUUCCCACGUACUGGCUUUCAAGCAGCAGGAAGAUGCACUCAGCUCAGUAACAAAUCUGCAGCCCAUAUAAGCAAAGACUGCGGCACACGUGAAAAGCCAGAGAGAGUGAAUGUGGAUGAGGAAAGAGAAGGGUAGGAGGAAGGCAGACCAGCCAGAGACAGAAAGCGAAACAGAGCUCUGAGACACGGCCUGCUACCGAAACGCCGAGCAGGCAUGGCGGGAGUGGAUGUGGUGGUGGAUUCAGAUGCACGAGGUAUGCAGAAGUAGGCAACGUCCUCACUGCCAUGAAAUCCUAGUUUCUGCUGAGCUCCAUCUAAAUAGAAGCACCCUAGGACAAAAAUUGUGUAGCAAGACAGGCACAGACACGACUUUUGGGAAAGAAGCCUGUGCUCAUGGCUCCUGGACACAGGGUUCGAACACGAGGUGGACAGGCACAUGCACGAGCACCAGGGUGGCCCGCAGGCAAGUGAGAAUCUUCAAGAUGAAGGGAUUCUCAGCCUCCGACCUCUGCUCUAGGAGACAAGUCUCAGAAGAUAUUCUUAAAUCAUGCUCCCACCCAGAAAUCCCCAAGAACCCAACACAGAAGGUUGAAGAACAUAAAACACAACCUGGCUUCCAACGGGAGCUGAAAUGUCACCUAACAGUUAAUCUGGAGUUGCGGCUGUGGUUGCAAUUUUUAUGUUGUUAAUGAUAAUUAGGGCUUAAAAUAAUUGUUGUCAUUACUUUAUUUGCCUUUUCCUCCCAUAAUGUUCCCUUAGCGAAUGAUCUGGGGGGGCAGUUUGGUGACCCUUAGUUCAGGCACUCUUUUACAUGAUUCCCUUCCUUUCCCUUGUUCCCCCAACUGCUCACAAAACCCCAGCUGUCUGAAAAGGGUCUACUUUCCAGCUUUCUUCUUCCCCUGCCAUCCUGACACAGAACUGAAGCCUCUGGGGCUUUGUUCAAGAAAAGAGGACCUUGGCAGUAUGAAGCUAAGGUUAUAAUGCAGCUGAGACAUGGAAUUGUUCACUCACUUCCUCUGAUUGGCAAAGGAAUCGAUAUUUUUAGGGACAUCUAGAGUCUGGACUAGGAAAUAGAGUUAAAGGAGAAAAGGGAAUUUUAGGUCUCUGAGAGAAAAUAUAUAUCUCACUAUUCUUUGUCUAAUUCAGAAUCUGUGGGGGCCUUGGUUCCAGGACUCCCAUGGAUACCAAAACCCAUGGUUACUAUAUUCAAGUCCCCUUCACAGUGUCACCAUGUAAUCUACACACAUCCUCCCCUAUAUUAAAAUUAUGUCUAGAUCAUAUAUAAUAUCUAAUGCAUGUAAACAUUAUUUAAAUGUGUUGUUUGAGGACUAGUGAUAAGACAGAUAUUCUGUACCUGUUCAGUAUAGAUGUAGUUUCCCUCAAUAUGUUUGAUGAAAGGUUGGUUAAAUAGUCUCUGGUGUGAAAAACUAUAAUAGUACAUAAGAUCCUAAUGAGAUAAUUGACAAUGUGAAAUAGGAAGAAAAGGGCGAAAGGUGUAGGGAAAGUGGGAAGGGUAGGGGAGAGGAAAUAAGGGAAGAGAAAAAAAUAUGAGAAAAUGAAAAAAUGGAAAUAAAGUGUUUGUAAAUGGGGAGGGGAGGAGAGGGUGAAGGGAGGGCAGGGACAAGGGGAAAAAAUGAGAACAAAGACCUGUCAUGUAAAGGCACAAGAUCCCAAUCAUGAAUGUAACUGUACUGUAUAUGUAAAAUGUACCAAUAAACAAUUAAAAAUGAAAAGAAAGGAUGGUUAAAUCCACAAAGCCGAUUACAUUGAUUACGUGCUCAGCUCUAACUGUAUCUUUGGGUCUUCAUCUCCUUAUGAAGCUUCUCAUGCCACAUCAAAAAUUGUGUUAAGUAAAUUUGUAUGUUUGUCUUAGUUAUUUUCUCUGACACCCACGAUUUAAAGGAGGAGAGGCUUAUUCUAGUUCACCACCUGGAGAAGUUUCAGUCAGUAGUGUGCUGGCUCCCAGGCAGGAUAGCAUGGCAGAAGGGCAUCCCACAGGAAAAAC
rnacentral:lncRNA from 1 species